GUAGGCCGAUGAAGGUGCAUUGUAAGGUGUGCUGGAGGUAUCAGAAGUGCGAAUGUUGACAUGAGUAGCGAUAAAGCGGGUGAAAAGCCCGCUCGCCGAAAGCCCAAGGUUUCCUACGCAACGUUCAUCGGCGUAGGGUGAGUCGGCCCCUAAGGCGAGGCAGAAAUGCGUAGUCGAUGGGAAACAGGUUAAUAUUCCUGUACUUGAUUCAAAUGCGAUGUGGGGACGGAGAAGGUUAGGUUAGCAAGCUGUUGGAAUAGCUUGUUUAAGCCGGUAGGUGGAAGACUUAGGCAAAUCCGGGUCUUCUUAACACCGAGAAGUGAUGACGAGUGUCUACGGACAUGAAGUAACCGAUACCACGCUUCCAGGAAAAGCCACUAAGCUUCAGUUUGAAUUGAACCGUACCGCAAACCGACACAGGUGGGCAGGAUGAGAAUUCUAAGGCGCUUGAGAGAACUCAGGAGAAGGAACUCGGCAAAUUGAUACCGUAACUUCGGGAGAAGGUAUGCCCUCUAAGGUUAAGGACUUGCUCCGUAAGCCCUGGAGGGUCGCAGAGAAUAGGUGGCUGCGACUGUUUAUUAAAAACACAGCACUCUGCUAACACGAAAGUGGACGUAUAGGGUGUGACGCCUGCCCGGUGCUGGAAGGUUAAUUGAAGAUGUGCAAGCAUCGGAUCGAAGCCCCAGUAAACGGCGGCCGUAACUAUAACGGUCCUAAGGUAGCGAAAUUCCUUGUCGGGUAAGUUCCGACCCGCACGAAUGGCGUAACGAUGGCCACACUGUCUCCUCCUGAGACUCAGCGAAGUUGAAGUGGUUGUGAAGAUGCAAUCUACCCGCUGCUAGACGGAAAGACCCCGUGAACCUUUACUGUAGCUUUGCAUUGGACUUUGAAGUCACUUGUGUAGGAUAGGUGGGAGGCUUUGAAGCAGAGACGCCAGUCUCUGUGGAGCCGUCCUUGAAAUACCACCCUGGUGUCUUUGAGGUUCUAACCCAGACCCGUAAUCCGGGUCGGGGACCGUGCAUGGUAGGCAGUUUGACUGGGGCGGUCUCCUCCCAAAGAGUAACGGAGGAGUUCGAAGGUUACCUAGGUCCGGUCGGAAAUCGGACUGAUAGUGCAAUGGCAAAAGGUAGCUUAACUGCGAGACCGACAAGUCGAGCAGGUGCGAAAGCAGGACAUAGUGAUCCGGUGGUUCUGUAUGGAAGGGCCAUCGCUCAACGGAUAAAAGGUACUCCGGGGAUAACAGGCUGAU
rnacentral:rRNA from 1 species